rnacentral:rRNA from 1 species
CCUACGGGAGGCAGCAGUGAGGAAUAUUGGUCAAUGGACGGAAGUCUGAACCAGCCAUGCCGCGUGCAGGAAGACGGCUCUAUGAGUUGUAAACUGCUUUUGUACAAGGGUAAAUCUGCAUACGUGUAUUCAGAUGAAAGUACUGUACGAAUAAGGAGCGGCUAACUCCGUGCCAGCCGCCGCGGUAAUACGGAGGGUCCAAGCUGUAUCCGGAUUUAUAGGGUUUAAAGUGCGCGUAGGCGGAUUGAUAAGUUCGAGGUGAAAUGGACGAGCUUAACUCGGGAACUGCCUCGAAUACUGUUGAUCUGGAGUGUAGGUGCGGUAGGCGGAAUGUAAGGUGUAGCGGUGAAAUGCUUAGAGAUC